GUCGACGCUGAAGCUGGGUGCUUGCACCUGGUGGAUGAGUGGCGAACGGGUGAGUAAUACGUGAGUGACCUUCCUUGGACUCUGGGAUAAGCCCGGGAAACUGGGUCUAAUACCGGAUACGACCAGUCCUCGCAUGGGGUGCUGGUGGAAAGGGUUUGUACUGGUUCUUGAUGGGCUCACGUCCUAUCAGCUUGUUGGUGAGGUAAUGGCUUACCAAGGCGACGACGGGUAGCCGGCCUGAGAGGGUGACCGGCCACACUGGGACUGAGACACGGCCCAGACUCCUACGGGAGGCAGCAGUGGGGAAUAUUGCACAAUGGGCGCAAGCCUGAUGCAGCGACGCCGCGUGGGGGAUGACGGCCUUCGGGUUGUAAACCUCUUUCAGCAGGGAAGAAGCGAAAGUGACGGUACCUGCAGAAGAAGCGCCGGCUAACUACGUGCCAGCAGCCGCGGUAAUACGUAGGGCGCAAGCGUUGUCCGGAAUUAUUGGGCGUAAAGAGCUCGUAGGCGGUUUGUCGCGUCUGCUGUGAAAGCCCGGGGCUCAACCCCGGGUGUGCAGUGGGUACGGGCAGGCUGGAGUGCAGUAGGGGAGACUGGAAUUCCUGGUGUAGCGGUGAAAUGCGCAGAUAUCA
rnacentral:rRNA from 1 species